rnacentral:lncRNA from 1 species
GCCAUCCUUGGCCAAGUGUGGGCCUGGCCAGAGAGGACUCCAACACUGGAGCCCAUGCUGAGAACUGCAGCAGGGCAGGCAGGGCUGGGAGAACAGAGGGCAGGAGCUGCUUCAUACAAUCAUGUCACACUGCUGAGCCAGGAAGGCCCGGUCACUGACAGUGACUUCCCCCCACAACAAAACAAACAGCAUAAAUUAGAUUACUAACGUUUUCCAGUUCCCAGGAUUUCUGACAUUGAGAACAAAAUGUAUGCUCUUAAGAUGUCUUUGAGAUUCUUAGACAAUUUGGUGGCUUGGAGAACUUAAGAGAGCUCUUCCUAAUGUAAAUGUGAGCAAAUUGCAAAAGAACAUUAAGAGUCAGGACUAUUCACACUCUGAUCUAUAGAAGAGGUAAUGCCAUACCUGCCAACUGUUGUGUGUAUCCAGAGAAAAAAAUGCCGGGCGUAAUGUCAGCAGGUGUUUAUCUCUGGGGGAUACGUUUUGGGAGGAGAAUUUACUUUCAUAUAUUUGCUUGAGUUGUUUGUAUUCUUAAUAAUUUCAUCUUCAACAAACAAUACCACUGAGCUAGUCAGCUUUCCAUUACUCUAACCAAUACCCCCAAAUAACAAACUUAGAAAAGGUUUAUUUUGACUCAUAGUUUUUAGAAGCUUCAGUUGAUGGUCAGUUUGCUGUUGCUUUGGGGACAGCAGCUCCAUGUGUUGGGAGCUUUUGGUGGCGAAACAAAACUGCUCACUUUAAGGCUGGGAAAUGAAAGAGACAAAGGAGAAGGGGCGGGGUCCC